GUGAAUCAUCGAAUUUUUGAACACAAAUUGCACUCUUUGGUAUUCCGAAGAGUAUGCUUGUUUGAGGGUUGUUUCAAUCAAAUCGUUUUUUUAAUAACGGAUUUGAGUUUUCUAUGGUUUUAUGAUUUUGGUAACUUUAAAUUUAUCUUAAUGAUAUAUUUGGUAUGAUAUCGGAACUGGUUAUAUUAUUACUAUUUGUGAGUUUCGUUAACAAUCGAUUACCUGUCGUUAUGUCGUAUCAUUGGCUCAAUCCUUUAGAUUGGAUCGUAUGAUACAAUAUUCUUUCAGCAU
rnacentral:misc_RNA from 1 species